CUACGUGCCAGCAGCCGCGGUAAUACGGAGGGUGCGAGCGUUAAUCGGAAUAACUGGGCGUAAAGGGCACGCAGGCGGUGACUUAAGUGAGGUGUGAAAGCCCCGGGCUUAACCUGGGAAUUGCAUUUCAUACUGGGUCGCUAGAGUACUUUAGGGAGGGGUAGAAUUCCACGUGUAGCGGUGAAAUGCGUAGAGAUGUGGAGGAAUACCGAAGGCGAAGGCAGCCCCUUGGGAAUGUACUGACGCUCAUGUGCGAAAGCGUGGGGAGCAAACAGGAUUAGAUACCCUGGUAGUCCACGCUGUAAACGAUGUCGAUUUGGGGGUUGAACUUUAAGUUUGGCGCCCGUAGCUAACGUGAUAAAUCGACCGCCUGGGGAGUACGGCCGCAAGGUUAAAACUCAAAUGAAUUGACGGGGGCCCGCACAAGCGGUGGAGCAUGUGGUUUAAUUCGAUGCAACGCGAAGAACCUUACCAGGCCUUGACAUUGACUGA
rnacentral:rRNA from 1 species